CUGGGCAGUUUUUUAUCUGAUCAAAUUGUGGUUCUACUUCUGCUACUUCCUUCCCUGAUGGUAACACAACCUGCCAAAAGAAAAAUCUUAUAAGAAUGUCCGUAUUGUCUAAUCACCUUACCAGACAUGUCAUAAAUGAAGAUAAAAUGGAAAACGCACAAAGAGAUCAUUUUCUAGUGUGGUCUUCUUGAUCUCCAUCACCGAAGCACCAUUCAAGCUUUUUGAAACUGCCAUAACAUCAGCCGCAUAAUCAUAUUCCAUUAUUGGGAUGACCGGAAAGUUUAGUUCAAUGAACCAGUUCUCUGUCGAACCACCAUUCUGAAAGUGGGAUGAAUCUGAAUCCUUAGCGUGUGAUAUUCUUUUCGCAGUCAAUAAUCCCGACAGGGUCGAAAACUCAAUCAUAUCAGCAUUUACUAAACCAUAUGUGAAGAGAAAGUGGGAUGCUGCUAAUGUUGCAUGUCCACAAAUUUUAACCUGCAAACAACUAGUAUUCUUACAGAUUGAUAUUCAUGGCUAUGGUCUUUGUACUUGUGUUCAGAUUGCUAGAAGGAUAGUAGGGUCAUUUUACAAGCUUGGUUAGGAUAAAUUAGACUUUUUGCCUAUUAGUUUUUUUUUAAAAUCUCGUAUUCUCUUUUUGUAACACGAGUUUUUAAGUUCUUUGAAACCAUAGCCUUUUUGCUCUUUUCAAUGUUUCUUUUAACUUUGAUUCAUAAGAUUCACGGUCUCGAAAAUGCAACCAUACAAGAUACGUUAAGAAGGCAAUCAUAA
rnacentral:lncRNA from 1 species